rnacentral:rRNA from 1 species
GACGAACGCUGGCGGCGUGCUUAACACAUGCAAGUCGAACGGAAAGGCCCUGCAUUUGUGGGGUGCUCGAGUGGCGAACGGGUGAGUAACACGUGAGUAACCUGCCCUUGACUUUGGGAUAACUUCAGGAAACUGGGGCUAAUACCGGAUAGGAGCUCCUGCUGCAUGGUGGGGGUUGGAAAGUUUCGGCGGUUGGGGAUGGACUCGCGGCUUAUCAGCUUGUUGGUGGGGUAGUGGCUUACCAAGGCUUUGACGGGUAGCCGGCCUGGGAGGGUGACCGGCCACAUUGGGACUGAGAUACGGCCCAGACUCCUACGGGAGGCAGCAGUGGGGAAUAUUGCACAAUGGGCGGAAGCCUGAUGCAGCAACGCCGCGUGCGGGAUGACGGCCUUCGGGUUGUAAACCGCUUUCGCCUGUGACGAAGCGUGAGUGACGGUAAUGGGUAAAGAAGCACCGGCUAACUACGUG